UACGAAGGGGGCUAGCGUUGCUCGGAAUUACUGGGCGUAAAGCGCACGUAGGCGGCUUUCUAAGUCGGGGGUGAAAUCCUGGAGCUCAACUCCAGAACUGCCUUCGAUACUGGAAAGCUCGAGUCCGGGAGAGGUGAGUGGAACUGCGAGUGUAGAGGUGAAAUUCGUAGAUAUUCGCAAGAACACCAGUGGCGAAGGCGGCCCACUGGCCCGGUACUGACGCUGAGGUGCGAAAGCGUGGGGAGCAAACAGG
rnacentral:rRNA from 1 species